UACGGGGGGAGCAAGCGUUGUUCGGAAUUACUGGGCGUAAAGGGCUCGUAGGCGGCCAACUAAGUCAGACGUGAAAUCCCCAGGCCUCAACCUGGGAACUGCGUCUGAUACUGGUUGGCUUGAAUCCGGGAGAGGGAUGCAGAAUUCCAGGUGUAGCGGUGAAAUGCGUAGAUAUCUGGAGGAAUACCGGUGGCGAAGGCGGCAUCCUGGACCGGCAUUGACGCUGAGGAGCGAAAGCUAGGGGAGCAAACAGG
rnacentral:rRNA from 1 species